AACGCUAGCUACAGGCUUAACACAUGCAAGUCGAGGGGCAUCAGGAAGAAAGCUUGCUUUCUUUGCUGGCGACCGGCGCACGGGUGAGUAACACGUAUCCAACCUGCCCUUUACUCGGGGAUAGCCUUUCGAAAGAAAGAUUAAUACCCGAUGGCAUAAUGAUUCCGCAUGGUUUCAUUAUUAAAGGAUUCCGGUAAAGGAUGGGGAUGCGUUCCAUUAGGUUGUUGGUGAGGUAACGGCUCACCAAGCCUUCGAUGGAUAGGGGUUCUGAGAGGAAGGUCCCCCACAUUGGAACUGAGACACGGUCCAAACUCCUACGGGAGGCAGCAGUGAGGAAUAUUGGUCAAUGGGCGCUAGCCUGAACCAGCCAAGUAGCGUGAAGGAUGAAGGCUCUAUGGGUCGUAAACUUCUUUUAUAUAAGAAUAAAGUGCAGUAUGUAUACUGUUUUGUAUGUAUUAUAUGAAUAAGGAUCGGCUAACUCCGUGCCAGCAGCCGCGGUAAUACGGAGGAUCCGAGCGUUAUCCGGAUUUAUUGGGUUUAAAGGGAGCGUAGGUGGACUGGUAAGUCAGUUGUGAAAGUUUGCGGCUCAACCGUAAAAUUGCAGUUGAUACUGUCAGUCUUGAGUACAGUAGAGGUGGGCGGAAUUCGUGGUGUAGCGGUGAAAUGCUUUAGAUAUCACGAAGAACUCCGAUUGCGAAGGCAGCUCACUGGACUGCAACUGACACUGAUGCUCGAAAGUGUGGGUAUCAAACAGGAUUAGAUACCCUGGUAGUCCACACAGUAAACGAUGAAUACUCGCUGUUUGCGAUAUACAGUAAGCGGCCAAGCGAAAGCAUUAAGUAUUCCACCUGGGGAGUACGCCGGCAACGGUGAAACUCAAAGGAAUUGACGGGGGCCCGCACAAGCGGAGGAACAUGUGGUUUAAUUCGAUGAUACGCGAGGAACCUUACCCGGGCUUAAAUUGCAGUGGAAUGAUGUGGAAACAUGUCAGUGAGCAAUCACCGCUGUGAAGGUGCUGCAUGGUUGUCGUCAGCUCGUGCCGUGAGGUGUCGGCUUAAGUGCCAUAACGAGCGCAACCCUUAUCUUUAGUUACUAACAGGUUAUGCUGAGGACUCUAGAGAGACUGCCGUCGUAAGAUGUGAGGAAGGUGGGGAUGACGUCAAAUCAGCACGGCCCUUACGUCCGGGGCUACACACGUGUUACAAUGGGGGGUACAGAAGGCAGCUAGCGGGUGACCGUAUGCUAAUCCCAAAAGCCUCUCUCAGUUCGGAUCGAAGUCUGCAACCCGACUUCGUGAAGCUGGAUUCGCUAGUAAUCGCGCAUCAGCCACGGCGCGGUGAAUACGUUCCCGGGCCUUGUACACACCGCCCGUCAAGCCAUGGGAGCCGGGGGUACCUGAAGUACGUAACCGCAAGGAUCGUCCUAGGGUAAAACUGGUGACUGGGG
rnacentral:rRNA from 1 species